rnacentral:rRNA from 1 species
CCUACGGGAGGCAGCAGUGAGGAAUUUUCCGCAAUGGGCGAAAGCCUGACGGAGCAAUGCCGCGUGAAGGAUGAAGGCCUAUGGGUUGUAAACUUCUUUUCUCAGAGAAGAAUUUUGACGGUAUCUGAGGAAUAAGCAUCGGCUAACUC